rnacentral:rRNA from 1 species
UACGAAGGGGGCUAGCGUUGUUCGGAAUCACUGGGCGUAAAGCGCACGUAGGCGGAUUUUAAGUCAGGGGUGAAAUCCCGAGGCUCAACCUCGGAACUGCCUUUGAUACUGGGGAUCUGGAGUCCGGGAGAGGUGAGCGGAACUGCGAGUGUAGAGGUGAAAUUCGUAGAUAUUCGGAAGAACACCAGUGGCGAAGGCGGCUCACUGGACUGGUAUUGACGCUGAGGUGCGAAAGCGUGGGGAGCAAACAGG